AAGACUAUACUUUCAGGGAUCAUUUCUAUAGUUCGUUACUAGAGAAUUUUCUCUGACUGUGUAGAACACCCGAAAGGCUCUAGGUGCUGCUUGACUGCAGCUGCCUUUUGCCAUUGAUGAUCGUUCUUCUCUCCUUCGGGAGGGUGAGAGGGAGGGAACGCAGUCUGA
rnacentral:snoRNA from 1 species